rnacentral:misc_RNA from 1 species
GUGAAUCAUCGAAUUUUUGAACGCAAAUUGCGCUUCCUGGUAUCCCGGGAAGUAUGCCUGUUUGAGGAUCAGUAUUAACAAAAAAAUCGGUUUGGUUGCAAAUUGUGACGUUUCCGGGGUUUGGGCUAUCUUAACUUUUUUGGUUAAGGGGCUUAAAAUUGACCUUUUUUGCGCAUUUUGAGUCGUACAUAAAUUUUUUUUUUAUUCGUAUAUUCUUAAUGCCAAAAUCUUAUUAGAUGCGAUCACAUCGUGUUGUUUCGUUUCCAUAAAUUUUCCAUCAUUUAACCUCAACUCAGG